AUGUUUGCAGAUAUACUAAUCAGCAAACAUCAAAAUGCAUUCAUAAAACACAGGAAUAUUAUGGAUGGCAUCUUAACCCUUCAUGAAAUUCUUCAUCACACACAAAGGAAAAAGAAAAUUGAUGUGGUGUUGAAACUCGAUUUCGAAAAAGCAUAUGAUAAGAUCAAUUGGGAUUUUCUUCUUGAAUGCCACAGCAACAGGGGUUUUGGCCCAGUGUGGUGUGGGUGGAUCCAGAAUAUCCUUAAGAAUAGGACCAUUGAUAUCAAAUUGAAUAAUGAAAAAGGUCCUUACUUCCAAAGCUGCAAGGGAGUGCGACAAGGGGACCCGCACUCACCUUUCUUAUUCAAUAUGGCUGUGGAAGCCUUAUCCAAAAUGAUCCUGAAUGCUCAAAAAGAGAAAUGA
rnacentral:rRNA from 1 species